rnacentral:rRNA from 1 species
UCCCACUUUGGUGGGGUAAGGCCCCCGGUUGAUGAUCGGGUUGAUAGGUCGGAGAUGGAAGCGCGGUAACGUGUGGAGUCGACCGGUACUAAUAGGCCGAGUGGCUUGACCACACAAUAC